rnacentral:rRNA from 1 species
UACGUAGGGGGCAAGCGUUGUCCGGAAUCAUUGGGCGUAAAGAGCGUGUAGGCGGCUCGAUAAGUCCGCUCUGAAAGCCCGGGGCUCAACCCCGGGAGGCGGGCGGAUACUGUCGAGCUAGAGUCCGGAAGAGGCGACUGGAAUUCCUGGUGUAGCGGUGAAAUGCGCAGAUAUCAGGAGGAACACCGGUGGCGAAGGCGGGUCUCCGGGCCGAUACUGACGCUGAGGAGCGAAAGCGUGGGGAGCGAACAGG